rnacentral:lncRNA from 1 species
CAAAUAGAUUCUUACUUAUUUAUUUAUGGUAAUCUAAUAUUUGGUGAAUACUUGAUUGAGGAUUACUGCUUUUAUGCGCUAGCUGUGCUCAUUAUUUAACUGUUAAUUAUCUCCUUGUCAUAUUUAGUUGCUCAUAUAUUUGGUAAAAUUAAAUUAAAACCAAUUUUAUACUCCCUUUGAAUAAGGAAAAUAAUAAGUUAUUUGUCUCCUUAAAUUUAUUCAUUUCCUUUAGCGUUGUACUUCCCCAUCAACUAUAUAAUNNN